rnacentral:rRNA from 1 species
AACGAACGCUGGCGGCAUGCCUAACACAUGCAAGUCGAACGAAACCUUCGGGACCAGUGGCGCACGGGGGCGUAACGCGUGGGAACCUGCCCUUAGGUUUGGAAUAACUCCCCGAAAGGGGUGCUAAUACCGGAUAAUGUCUACGGACCAAAGAUUUAUCGCCUUUGGAUGGGCCCGCGUUGGAUUAGCUAGUUGGUAGGGUAAAAGCCUACCAAGGCGACGAUCCAUAGCUGGUCUGAGAGGAUGAUCAGCCACACUGGGACUGAGACACGGCCCAGACUCCUACGGGAGGCAGCAGUGGGGAAUAUUGGACAAUGGGCGAAAGCCUGAUCCAGCAAUGCCGCGUGAGUGAUGAAGGCCUUAGGGUUGUAAAGCUCUUUUACCCGGGAUGAUAAUGACAGUACCGGGAGAAUAAGCUCCGGCUAACUCCGUG